UAGCGGCGAGUGAGCGGCAAGAGCUCAGAUUUGAAAUCUCACCUAGUGUGCGAGUUGUAAAUUGCAGGUUGGAGUCUCGGGUUAGACGUGUGUGCAAGUCCCUUGGAACAGGGUGCCACUGAGGGUGAGAGCCCCGUAUCGUGCAUGUCGACACCUGUGAGGCCCUUCUGACGAGUCGAGUUGUUUGGGAAUGCAGCUCUAAGUGGGUGGUAAAUUCCAUCUAAGGCUAAAUAUUGGCGAGAGACCGAUAGCGAACAAGUACUGUGAAGGAAAGAUGAAAAGCACUUUGAAAAGAGAGUGAAACAGCACGUGAAAUUGUUGAAAGGGAAGGGUAUUGGGCUCGACAUGGGAUUUACGCAUCGUUGCCUCUCGUGGGCGGCGCUCUGGGUUUUUCCUGGGCCAGCAUCGGUUUUCGUUGCAGGAUAAGGACAAUUGGAAUGUGGCUCCUCGGAGUGUUAUAGCCUUUUGUAGAUGCUGCGUAUGGGGACCGAGGGCUGCGGCGGACUCGUUUCGUCUCGGAUGCUGGCACAACGGCGCAAUACCGCCCGUCUUGAAACACGGACAAA
rnacentral:rRNA from 1 species